rnacentral:lncRNA from 1 species
UGGCUAGGACUUCCAAAACUAUGUUGAAUAACAGUGGCGAGAGCGGACAUCCUUGUCUUGUUCCUGAUCUCAGUGGGAAUUCUUUCAGCUUUUCACCAUUGAGAAUGAUGUUCACUGUGGGAUUGUCAUAUAUGGCCUUUAUCAUGCUGAGGUAGGUUCCCGCUGUGCCCACUUUCUGAAGGGUUUUUUUUAUCAGAAAUGGGUGUUGGAUUUUGUCAAAGGCUUAUUCCGAGUCUAUUGAGAGGAUCAUAUGGUUUUUAUUCUUCAGUUUGUUAAUGUGGUAUAUCACACCAAUGGAUUUGUGGAUACCGAAGAACCCUUGCAUCCCUGGGAUAAAUCCCACUUGAUCAUGAUGUACAAUCCUUUGAAUGUAUUGUUGGGUGCAGUUUGCUAGUAUUUUGUUGAGGAUUUUUGCAUCGAUGUUCAUCAGUGAAAUUGGCCUGUAGUUUUCUUUUUUUGUGGUAUCUUUGUCUGGUUUUGGUACCACGGUGAUGGUGGCCUCAUGGGAUGAGUUUGGGGGUAUCCCUUCCUCUGAAACUUUUUGAAAUAGUUUCAGAAGUAUAGGUGUUAGCUCUUCUCUAAAUGUUUGAUAGAAUUCGCCUGUGAACCCAUCUUAACUUUUAUUUGUUAGAAGUUUUUUAAUCACAGUUUCGAUUUCAGUUCUUGUGAUUGGUCUAUUCAUCUUUUGUAUUUCAUCUUGGUUUGGUGUUGGAAGAUUGUACUUUUCUAAGAAUUUGUCCAUUUCUUCUAGGUUUUCCAUUUUAUUGGCAUAUAGGUGCAUAUAGUAGUCUCUUAUGAUCCUUGGUAUUUCUGUGAUGUCCAUUGUUACUUCUCCUUUUUCAUUUCUUAUUUUAUUGAUUUGAGACUUCUGUCUUUUUUUCCUGAUAAGUCUGGCUAAGGGUUUAUCAAUGUUGUUGAUCUUUUCAAAGAACCAGCUUUUUGUUUCAUUGAUCUUUUCUAUGGGUUUCUUUGCUUCUAUUUCAUUGGUUUCUGCUCUGAUCUUUGUGAUUUCUUUCCUUCUACUAACUUUAGGUCUUGUCUGUUCUACUCUCUCGAGCUGCUUUAGAUGUAAAGUUACCUUGUUUAUUUGAGCUUUUUCUUGUUUCCUGAGAUGGACUUGUAUUGCUAUAAACUUUCCUCUUAGAACGGCUUUUGCUGCAUCUCAUAGGUUUUGGAGUGUUGUAUCUUUGUUGUCAUUUGCUUUUAGGUAUUUUUUAAUUU